CUAAGGAAUUUAACGGAAACCCACACAUUCGUCUUUACUUUGUUUAGUUUUGAGAGGUCUAAUCUUCUCAAAAAAACGCAACUUUGGUUGCGGCAAGACGUUGUUCUUUGAAAACUGGAUAAAGUUAAAAAGUGUAUUUCAAGUAACAAACCAGAAACACACCGAAAAGUUUUAAAAAUGAGUUUUUUUAAGGUUCUCAUCGAAAGAUGAGGUUUAAAAAUUAACUGUUAACCAUA
rnacentral:misc_RNA from 1 species